rnacentral:rRNA from 1 species
GCCUGAUGCAGCGACGCCGCGUGAGGGAUGACGGCCUUCGGGUUGUAAACCUCUUUCAAUAGGGACGAAGCGCAAGUGACGGUACCUAUAGAAGAAGGACCGGCCAACUACGUGCCAGCAGCCGCGGUAAUACGUAGGGUCCGAGCGUUGUCCGGAAUUACUGGGCGUAAAGAGCUCGUAGGUGGUUUGUCGCGUUGUUCGUGAAAACUCACAGCUUAACUGUGGGCGUGCGGGCGAUACGGGCAGACUAGAGUACUGCAGGGGAGACUGGAAUUCCUGGUGUAGCGGUGGAAUGCGCAGAUAUCAGGAGGAACACCGGUGGCGAAGGCGGGUCUCUGGGCAGUAACUGACGCUGAGGAGCGAAAGCGUGGGGAGCGAACAGGAUUAGAUACCCUGGUAGUCCACGCCGUAAACGGUGGGUACUAGGUGUGGGUUUCCUUCCUUGGGAUCCGUGCCGUAGCUAACGCAUUAAGUACCCCGCCUGGGGAGUACGGCCGCAAGGCUAAAACUCAAAGAAAUUGACGGGGGCCCGCACAAGCGGCGGAGCAUGUGGAUUAAUUCGAUGCAACGCGAAGAACCUUACCUGGGUUUGACAUGCACAGGACGCCAGUAGAGAUAUUGGUUCCCUUGUGGCCUG